rnacentral:ncRNA from 1 species
CAAAAGCUUGGUCCUGACUUUAAUGUCAGCUUUGGUUAUAUUUAUACAUGCAAGUAUCCGCACCCCUGUGAGAAUGCCCUACAUAUUCCUGCACAUGGAAAAAAGGAGCAGAUAUUAGGCACGACCCUGUCAGCCCACAACAUCUUGCUUAGCCACACCCCCACGGGACUUCAGCAGUAAUAGACAUUAAGCCAUAAGUGCAAACUUGACUUAGUUAAAACCAAGAGGGCCGGUAAAACUCGUGCCAGCCACCGCGGUUAUACGAGAGGCCCAAGUUGACAAACACCGGCGUAAAAAGUGGUUAUGUUUUACCUCACUAAAGCCAAACACCUCCAAAACUGUUAUACGCUCUUGGAGGCAGGAAGACCUUCCACGAAAGUGGCUUUAAACAAAUUACCCCACGAAAGCUAGGAAACAAACUGGGAUUAGAUACCCCACUAUGCCUAGCCUUAAACACAAGCAACUAGUCACACCUUUUGCUUACCAGGGAACUACGAGCCCCAGCUUAAAACCCAAAGGACUUGGCGGUGCUUUAGACCCCCCUAGAGGAGCCUGUUCUAGAACCGAUAACCCCCGUUCAACCUCACCCUUUCUUGUUUCUCCCGCCUAUAUACCGCCGUCGUCAGCUCACCCUGUGAAGGCCUCAUAGUGAGCAUAAUUGGUUUAACCUAAAACGUCAGGUCGAGGUGUAGCGCAUGAAAGGGGAAGAAAUGGGCUACAUUCACUGACCCAGUGAAAACGAAUAAUGCCUUGAAACAGACAUUUAAAGGAGGAUUUAGCAGUAAGGAGAGAAUAGAGUGCCCCCCUGAAACUGGCCCUGAAGCGCGCACACACCGCCCGUCACUCUCCCCAAACAAAAUAAACUAAUAAAUAAACAGUCUCAGCAAGAAAGGGGAGGCAAGUCGUAACAUGGUAAGUGUACCGGAAGGUGCACUUGGAAAAAU